rnacentral:rRNA from 1 species
AUUGAACGCUGGCGGCAGGCUUAACACAUGCAAGUCGAGCGAGUGGCGGACGGGUGAGUAAUGUCUGGGAAACUGCACGAUGGAGGGGGAUAACUACUGGAAACGGUAGCUAAUACCGCAUACCAUCGGAUGUGCCCAGAUGGGAUUAGCUAGUAGGGGGGGUAAAGGCUCACCUAGGCGACGAUCUCUAGCUGGUCUGAGAGGAUGAUCGGCCACACUGGGACUGAGACACGGCCCAGACUCCGACGGGAGGCAGCAGUGGGGAAUAUUGAACAAUGGGCGCAAGCCUGAUGCAGCCAUGCCGCGUGUGUGAAGAAGGCCUUAGGGUUGUAAAGUACUUUCAGCGGGGAGGCGUUACCCGCAGAAGAAGCAACGGCUAACUCCGUGCCAGCAGCCGCGGUAAUUC